GAUGAACGCUAGCGGCAGGCUUAAUACAUGCAAGUCGUGGGGCAGCAGGGGUGUAGCAAUACAUCUGCUGGCGACCGGCAAACGGGUGCGUAACACGUACGCAACCUUCCCGUUACUGUGGCAUAGCCCAGGGAAACUUGGAUUAAUACCACAUAUUAUAUAGAGAGGGCAUCCUUUUUAUAUCAAAGCUUCGGCGGUAACGGAUGGGCGUGCGGUUGAUUAGGUAGUUGGCGGGGUAACGGCCCACCAAGCCUACGAUCAAUAGCUGAUGUGAGAGCAUGAUCAGCCAAGCGGGCACUGAGACACGGGCCCGACUCCUACGGGAGGCAGCAGCAAGGAAUAUUGGGCAAUGGACGAAAGUCUGACCCAGCCAUGCCGCGUGAAGGAUUAAGGUCCUCUGGAUUGUAAACUUCUUUUCUCUGGGGCGAAAACCAGCUAUUCUUAGCUAUUUGACAGUACCAGAGGAAUAAGCACCGGCUAACUCCGUGCCAGCAGCCGCGGUAAAAC
rnacentral:rRNA from 1 species